CGCACUAGUUCAGAGUUUGAUCCUGGCUCAGGACGAACGCUGGCGGCGUGCCUAACACAUGCAAGUCGAACGGACGAGGGGAGCUUGCUCCCUGAGUUAGUGGCGAACGGGUGAGUAACGCGUGAGGAACCUGCCUUUCAGUGGGGGACAACAGUUGGAAACGACUGCUAAUACCGCAUAAUGUAUCGAUAGGGCAUCCUAUUGAUACCAAAGCUUUAUGUGCUGAAAGAUGGCCUCGCGUCUGAUUAGAUAGUUGGUGGGGUAACGGCCCACCAAGUCAACGAUCAGUAGCCGGUCUGAGAGGAUGAACGGCCACAUUGGGACUGGGAUACGGCCCAG
rnacentral:rRNA from 1 species